CUGUUAAUAUAACCGUGUGUUAGUGUGGGGUUACAGUGAAUUUAUGUAAAUCACAAAGCUAAUCUGCAUUUCCUGCGGUGCAGGGAAAGUCUCGGCAACAAACGUGUGGUCAAAUGAAGAUCCUACUCCUGUACAACCAAAUAUAGAAAGCUGGAAUCCUUGAUGGUGAAACCACCACGUCCGUGUGCGAUAUUACAACAACAAAGUCACUGCAAACAACGAACACUGUUGUUUUUCACUCAAACAUCAUUGCACGCGCGAUAGAACGGCAGAAUAUGUCACGUUUUUUUUUUUUUUACAACGUUUGGGACGCUCCUCACCACCGCUUCGACAACAAAACAAAAACAACGGCCAUGGGGCAGACAGUGGCACCGUUUUCCCUACUACGGAUUCCAUAUUUAAAGAUUGUUCAUUUUUUAUAUGUUGCCUGGCUGUUUUGAAGAAUCAGGGUUAGAAUAAUAUCUUAUGUUCUACUAUCUCGUUGAGAGUAKAUCUUGGAAUAGGAACACGCAUUCGGGGUAGAAAAGCUAACUCCACUCAUUGGAUAUUCAUACAAAUAUAUCUUGUUUUGAUCAUCUGCUGUACAUGAUGCAGUCUAUAUUUAUUGCCAUAAACACAGUAAUAACAGGUCGUUUUUAUAAAGGAAGCAGUUUCCAUAUUUGUCGUUUUCAUGUGUCUUUUACCAUUAAAACGAGUUUUUACAGAUUUAUAAUGAAA